rnacentral:lncRNA from 1 species
CUGGAGCCGACACAUUAAGGGGGCCUGGCAGCCCCUGCCUGUGUGCUCUCAAGAACCACUGGCCAAAAGAUUGAGACCAGCUGGAGAAGGCCCAUAGAGAGAAUAUGAGCCUACAAGGAAAGGGGAAAAGAAAACACUCAGCCACCCUGGAUCUGAGUCUAACCUCCAGAUGACUCCAGCCCCAAAUAUCUGGUACAACUGCAUGAGAAACCAGAAAGAGGACAAAUAAAUCACCUAGCUGUGAGCCUGAUCUGCCUGCUUGUGCUUCACCGUUACUACUCUGAAAACAACACAUUCUUUUCGGCGGCCAAACCUUCCGAGUAGAAUGAAACACAUAUGGUCUCCAAGGAGUUGGCUGUUGACUCUGGACAAAUUACUCGACUGCGAAGGGCCUCGGUCCUGUUUGUAAAAGUCAGUAGUGCCACACUAUUGCUCCCUUCCGCUUCGGCCAAUCAGAUGUCAAUCAGUUAUCCUCAAACAACCAAGACGCAAAUUCUCUAGCCCAGGCGGGCGUCAGCCUCGAGCCCACCGGACCCCUAACGCGUUCACACAGACAGGCGGAGCCAAGCCAAGCCGCACCGCUCAGUCUGGGCGGUUGCUUUCUUUUCCCUGACACCUCCGCGCACCCUGCACCGGUCCCGCAGGACGCCCGGCACCGCCGCGGGCGCGGCCCGGGUCCCCACCUGAGCAGCGCCAGGAAGGCGGCGGGCUCCACGUCCGGCAGCUCGAUCUCGGCCGACGUGGUGGCCAUGCCGCCGUUGAACAUGGCGUCGAAGACAGCGCUGCCGGCCGCCAGCACGAAGCGGUGCGCGGGGAUGCGCUGCGGUCCGCCCGCCGCGCCGCGGCCCUUGCCCAGCACGAAGCGCACGUCGCUCAGCAGUUCCGAGUUGAAGAGAAAGGCGAAGCGCUCCUUCAGGGACGCCUUGGUCGCCUGCCAGUUGUACAGCGGCUCGCGCUGCAGAGGUGGCGGCGGCGGCGAUACGGGCGGCCCGGGCUCCGCUUCGCUCCCCGGCGCCGGCUCCCCAGCCGCGGUCGGCCCGAGAGGGGAGGCCAUCGCUGUGCUUCGGGAUGCAGCCUGUAUCGAACGCUACGGCCCGCCCGCUGCCGCCAUCGCCGGCCGCAGCGGCGCCGCCCCCCACCUUCCGGGAGAGCGCUUCCGGCGGACGCGCGUGCCCGCGGCUCUUCCUUCCAGGCCCCGCGCGCCCCCGAGUCCUUCCACCUCUGGGAGGAGGGCGCGUCCCCGCCGGACAGCUGUGCUGGGGCGCGCAGCCGAUGGAGGCGGCCCUGGAGCGGCUUGGUGC